rnacentral:rRNA from 1 species
UGUGAGCUCGAUGAGUAGGGCGGGACACGUGGUAUCCUGUCUGAAUAUGGGGGGACCAUCCUCCAAGGCUAAAUACUCCUGACUGACCGAUAGUGAACCAGUACCGUGAGGGAAAGGCGAAAAGAACCCCGGCGAGGGGAGUGAAAAAGAACCUGAAACCGUGUACGUACAAGCAGUGGGAGCACGCUUAGGCGUGUGACUGCGUACCUUUUGUAUAAUGGGUCAGCGACUUAUAUUCUGUAGCAAGGUUAACCGAAUAGGGGAGCCGAAGGGAAACCGAGUCUUAACUGGGCGUUAAGUUGCAGGGUAUAGACCCGAAACCCGGUGAUCUAGCCAUGGGCAGGUUGAAGGUUGGAUAACACUAACUGGAGGACCGAACCGACUAAUGUUGAAAAAUUAGCGGAUGACUUGUGGCUGGGGGUGAAAGGCCAAUCAAACCGGGAGAUAGCUGGUUCUCCCCGAAAGCUAUUUAGGUAGCGCCUCGUGAAUUCAUCUCCGGGGGUAGAGCACUGUUUCGGCAAGGGGGUCAUCCCGACUUACCAACCCGAUGCAAACUGCGAAUACCGGAGAAUGUUAUCACGGGAGACACACGGCGGGUGCUAACGUCCGUCGUGAAGAGGGAAACAACCCAGACCGCCAGCUAAGGUCCCAAAGUCAUGGUUAAGUGGGAAACGAUGUGGGAAGGCCCAGACAGCCAGGAUGUUGGCUUAGAAGCAGCCAUCAUUUAAAGAAAGCGUAAUAGCUCACUGGUCGAGUCGGCCUGCGCGGAAGAUGUAACGGGGCUAAACCAUGCACCGAAGCUGCGGCAGCGACGCUGAUGCGUUGUUGGGUAGGGGAGCGUUCUGUAAGCCUGAGAAGGUGUGCUGUGAGGCAUGCUGGAGGUAUCAGAAGUGCGAAUGCUGACAUAAGUAACGAUAAAGCGGGUGAAAAGCCCGCUCGCCGGAAGACCAAGGGUUCCUGUCCAACGUUAAUCGGGGCAGGGUGAGUCGACCCCUAAGGCGAGGCCGAAAGGCGUAGUCGAUGGGAAACAGGUUAAUAUUCCUGUACUUGGUGUUACUGCGAAGGGGGGACGGAGAAGGCUAUGUUGGCCGGGCGACGGUUGUCCCGGUUUAAGCGUGUAGGCUGGUUUUCCAGGCAAAUCCGGAAAAUCAAGGCUGAGGCGUGAUGACGAGGCACUACGGUGCUGAAGCAACAAAUGCCCUGCUUCCAGGAAAAGCCUCUAAGCAUCAGGUAACAUCAAAUCGUACCCCAAACCGACACAGGUGGUCAGGUAGAGAAUACCAAGGCGCUUGAGAGAACUCGGGUGAAGGAACUAGGCAAAAUGGUGCCGUAACUUCGGGAGAAGGCACGCUGAUAUGUAGGUGAAGUCCCUCGCGGAUGGAGCUGAAAUCAGUCGAAGAUACCAGCUGGCUGCAACUGUUUAUUAAAAACACAGCACUGUGCAAACACGAAAGUGGACGUAUACGGUGUGACGCCUGCCCGGUGCCGGAAGGUUAAUUGAUGGGGUCAGCGCAAGCGAAGCUCUUGAUCGAAGCCCCGGUAAACGGCGGCCGUAACUAUAACGGUCCUAAGGUAGCGAAAUUCCUUGUCGGGUAAGUUCCGACCUGCACGAAUGGCGUAAUGAUGGCCAGGCUGUCUCCACCCGAGACUCAGUGAAAUUGAACUCGCUGUGAAGAUGCAGUGUACCCGCGGCAAGACGGAAAGACCCCGUGAACCUUUACUAUAGCUUGACACUGAACAUUGAGCCUUGAUGUGUAGGAUAGGUGGGAGGCUUUGAAGUGUGGACGCCAGUCUGCAUGGAGCCGACCUUGAAAUACCACCCUUUAAUGUUUGAUGUUCUAACGUGGACCCGUGAUCCGGGUUGCGGACAGUGUCUGGUGGGUAGUUUGACUGGGGCGGUCUCCUCCUAAAGAGUAACGGAGGAGCACGAAGGUUGGCUAAUCCUGGUCGGACAUCAGGAGGUUAGUGCAAUGGCAUAAGCCAGCUUGACUGCGAGCGUGACGGCGCGAGCAGGUGCGAAAGCAGGUCAUAGUGAUCCGGUGGUUCUGAAUGGAAGGGCCAUCGCUCAACGGAUAAAAGGUACUCCGGGGAUAACAGGCUGAUACCGCCCAAGAGUUCAUAUCGACGGCGGUGUUUGGCACCUCGAUGUCGGCUCAUCACAUCCUGGGGCUGAAGUAGGUCCCAAGGGUAUGGCUGUUCGCCAUUUAAAGUGGUACGCGAGCUGGGUUUAGAACGUCGUGAGACAGUUCGGUCCCUAUCUGCCGUGGGCGCUGGAGAACUGAGGGGGGCUGCUCCUAGUACGAGAGGACCGGAGUGGACGCAUCACUGGUGUUCGGGUUGUCAUGCCAAUGGCACUGCCCGGUAGCUAAAUGCGGAAGAGAUAAGUGCUGAAAGCAUCUAAGCACGAAACUUGCCCCGAGAUGAGUUCUCCCUGACUCCUUGAGAGUCCUGAAGGAACGUUGAAGACGACGACGUUGAUAGGCCGGGUGUGUAAGCGCAGCGAUGCGUUGAGCUAACCGGUACUAAUGAACCGUGAGGCUUAACCUU